UCUCUUUUUUUAUUUUCUGUUCGUCGUAGACCGUUUCAGUAAAAAGCGUUUGAGAGAGUUUGAGUUUUCGUGUUCGACGGCCCGUGAUACUAGAAAUGACGACAAGGCGCAGACGCUCUGGGAAAGAGCAAGUUGUUGAGAAAUAGAGAAUCAACUAUGCUUUUUCCUCUUUCUCCCAUUUUCCUUUGAGGUUAGCUUAUCUUCUCCUAUGGAUCUCUAUAUAUAUUUUAGUAUGGAUCUCUUUGUGUAUACUAGAUGUUUCACAGGAUGGUUUCAUUGAGAUUCAUCCCCUCUGUAAAAGUAUAUUUUGCCUCUUUGCUUUCUCCUGUUUAGUAGUUCAUUUGAAUCAUAAGUGUUUAACAUAGACUAUGAUGUGUAGCUAAAUAUAUUGUUACUGAAGUUAUUACUUUUGUUGUUGUGUCUCCCUGUUUACAUCGUUUGUUGUUGUGUCUCCAUAUAUCGAGCAAUCUCAAGGAGAUGUAGGUGCUUUACUUGGCUGCGUUGACGUUUGAGAAUGCAGCGAGGAUGGCUAACGGAACAAAGGGGACAGACAGACCCAAACAUAGUGGUGAUGCUUAUAGGGAACAAGUGAGAUUUGGGUCACUUGUUACAAAAACAGAAGAACGUAAAUCAGUCGUUGAGUUUAUGGACGCAUCAGCUCUAGAUGCAAUCCAUUGUUUUUUUUUUUGAAUUUUCCUGAUGCAAGGAACAUAUGACCAACGUGUACAACAAAACUAGAAUCCAUGUGUACACUUCUUUCAUGUUCAUCAUUUUGAUAAGACAA